UUUAUUUCUGCUGUUUGAAUUCUACAACUAUGUUUGAAUUUCGAACUCAAUGUUGUAAUAAUCUUAAUGCACUUGUUUAAUCUGGAUGAUCUAUUGUAAUCUAUGAAACCACUCACCUUCGUGUGAGCUAUGCUUUCUCGGUAUUGUGUUAAGUGGUUUAUCGGAUGAAAUCCGACAGGCUACCAAGUUAACUUGAUUAAAGUACAUGAUCGCAUGUUAGGCGACUUAAAUGGGCUUUAGCUAAGUUAAUUUGGACAGUUCCGCCACACCGCUCUCCUACCC
rnacentral:lncRNA from 1 species